GAUGAAGAACGCAGCGAAAUGCGAUAAGUAAUGUGAAUUGCAGAAUUCAGUGAAUCAUCGAAUCUUUGAACGCACAUUGCGCCCGCCAGCAUUCUGGCGGGCAUGCCUGUUCGAGCGUCAUUUCAACCCUCGAGCCCCCGGGGGCCUCGGUGUUGGGGGACGGCACACCAGCCGCCCCCGAAAUGCAGUGGCGACCCCGCCGCAGCCUCCCCUGCGUAGUAGCACACACCUCGCACCGGAGCGCGGAGGCGGUCACGCCGUAAAACGCCCAACUUUCUUAGAGUUGACCUCGGAUCAGGUAGGAAUACCCGCUGAACUUAAGCAUAUCAAUAAGCGGAGGA
rnacentral:misc_RNA from 1 species